rnacentral:rRNA from 1 species
AAAAGCUCGUAGUUGGAUCUCAGUUCCAGACAGGCGGUCCGCCUAACGGUGGUCACUGCCUGGCCUGAACAACCAGCCGGUUUCCCUAGAUGAUCUUUACUGAUUGUCUUGGGUGACCGGCACGUUUACUUUGAAAAAAUUAGAGUGCUCAAAGCAGGCGCGACGCCUGAAUAAUGGUGCAUGGAAUAAUGGAAUAGGACCUCGGUUCUAUUUUGUUGGUUUUCGGAACACGAGGUAAUGAUUAAGAGGGACAGACGGGGGCAUUCGUAUUGCGACGCUAGAGGUGAAAUUCUUGGACCGUCGCAAGACGAACUACUGCGAAAGCAUUUGCCAAGAAUGUUUUCAUUAAUCAAGAACGAAAGUUAGAGGUUCGAAGGCGAUCAGAUACCGCCCUAGUUCUAACCAUAAACGAUGCCAACCAGCGAUCCGCCUGAGUUCCUCAAAUGACUCGGCGGGCAGCUUCCGGGAAACCAAAGUGUUUGGGUUCCGGGGGAAGUAUGGUUGCAAAGCUGAAACUUAAAGGAAUUGACGGAAGGGCACCACCAGGAGUGGAGCCUGCGGCUUAAUUUGACUCAACACGGGAAAACUUACCCGGCCCGGACACUGGAAGGAUUGACAGAUUAAGAGCUCUUUCUUGAUUCAGUGGGUGGUGGUGCAUGGCCGUUCUUAGUUGGUGGAGCGAUUUGUCUGGUUAAUUCCGAUAACGAACGAGACUCUAGCCUACUAAAUAGGCGUUCCGAUCACUUACGUCGGACGUUCUUCUUAGAGGGACAAGCGGCGCUUAGCCGCACGAGACAGAGCAAUAACAGGUCUGUAAUGCCCUUAGAUGUCCGGGGCCGCACGCGCGCUACACUGAAGGAAUCAGCGUGUGCUUUCCCUGUCCGGUAGGACUGGGUAACCCGUUAAACCUCCUUCGUGAUAGGGAUAGGGGCUUGUAAUUGUUCCCCUUGAACGAGGAAUUCCCAGUAAGCACGAGUCAUAAGCUCGUGUUGAUUACGUCCCUGCCCUUUGUACACACCGCCCGUCGCUACUACCGAUUGAAUGAUUUAGUGAGGUCUUCGGACUGGCGCUCGGAGCGGCCUUCCGGCCGCGCCGACGGGCCGGAAAGAUGACCAAACUUGAUCAUUUAGAGGAAGUAAAAGUCGUAACAAGGUUUCC